AGCGAACGCUGGCGGCAUGGAUUAGGCAUGCAAGUCGAGCGAGAAGUGUAGCAAUACACGGAAAGCGGCGGAAGGGAGAGUAAUACGUGGGAAUCUGCCCUUAGACCUGGGAUAGCAGCGGGAAACUGCUGGUAAUACCAGAUAAUGUCUAUGGACCAAAGGUGUGAUUCCGUCUAGGGAUGAGCCCACGUCCUAUUAGCUAGUUGGUAGGGUAAUGGCCUACCAAGGCGAUGAUGGGUAGCGGGUGUGAGAGCAUGACCCGCCUCACUGGGACUGAGACACUGCCCAGACACCUACGGGUGGCUGCAGUCGAGAAUCUUCGGCAAUGUGCGCAAGCCUGACCGAGCGAUGCCGCGUGCGGGAUGAAGGCCUUCGGGUUGUAAACCGCUGUCGAGGGGGAGCAACUUCCAUAGAGUUAUCUUUAUGGAUUGAGUGAUCCCUGGAGGAAGGACGGGCUAAGUUCGUGCCAGCCGCCGCAGUAAGAC
rnacentral:rRNA from 1 species